UGGGAACACAGGAGUUCAUAGCUCGAGAUUAAGUGUCGCUGUGUCGGAUAUUCUCGGGUUUGACAUGAAUAAGCAUCCUGACUUUAAGUCCUUUCAAGUUGCUUUACAGACUAAACUAAAACUUUCCAAGCAAGCUUUUGGUAAUGGAUUGAACGCUCAGCAAUCAGAUGUCCUUGAAGUAGAAGAGAUUUCUUACUUUUAUAAGAGCCCUUGUUGAAGCCUUUACUGGUUCUCUGGCAAUACAUCCUGAAAACUACGGAAAAUCCCUGACAAAGGAUCUACCUCUAAUCUAGUUAAACUGCCAUGCCACGAUGGGAUCCUUGUGCGCAUCUAACCAACAUAAACCAUCUAGUUUUGUGUAUAGAAAUUUAUGUAUUUUGAUAGAAUGAUUAUAUGAAUAAACUUUUAAUCUUUA